CCAUGAGGAAGGGGCAGCUGCCCUAAAGUGAAGGCGAUGGCAGGUUCCAGCUGCACGAAGCGGGUAGACUCAUCGUUAAAGACCGCAAGCCGCUCUCUUCAAGUCGCACAGAGUGUUCUAUGAGGGCGAGAACAUCCCACCGACACCAUGUGUCCUCUACACCAAGCAGGAGCUGGGCGAUGCAGUCUUUCUUCACAUUGUUGUGGAUCGUGAGCGCUUGUUCCCCGUUUUUACUGCAGAAGAGGGGCUGUGCAUGUUGUUGGCAGCAUAUUGGCUGCUCAGCAUAGUACUAAUGCAAGGCCUCCAACACACUGGUUACUCUAGGGAGGCUUUUCCUUGGAUUGAGCGACACAACUCCAAGGACAGUCGUAAUCAAAAUUUUGAACAAAGUUUGCAGAGAAGUAUGGGGUCGAAGAGAUGUUUUUUGAGCCAUUUUAAAAGUUUAUACUGCACGUUUCUGGCCAGUAUAAUCAGCUUCAUUUUUAGUUUGCUUACAGAACAAAUGAUAGAAGGUUUUGUGGAGGCAUGUUUUAUUUUUCUUUCUUUAUAUGUUGAGCACUUUCUGUGAUAACUUAUGCUGACCUCCUGAAGGCGAGGCGUGCUUAGAAUUUAGCUGUACCAGUUCCUUGUCCAUAGUCGUCUUCUAGAACUUUAUAAUUUUCCUUGUACGUGAGCAAGAGGAUAGCGUCUUCUACAGAAACAUUUGCUUUUUUGCCGUAGAGUGCAAGUUCAUUAUGUGAUAUUUUUCAUUACAUGUUUGCAUUUAGCAUUCGUUAUGUCAUGGAAUGGCAUACGUUGUAUUUUUCAUUUGUGUCUUAGGGUUCAAUAAAUGUUCAAUUUAACACAUUCUAAUUGAUGUCGUAGUGAGCUUCCCUUACUGAAUUACUGCUGUGGUUCAGUCAAGGGCUAGAACACCCCCCUUUACCCUG